UACGUAGGGGGCAAGCGUUGUCCGGAUUUAUUGGGCGUAAAGAGCUCGUAGGCGGUUUGUCGCGUCUGCUGUGAAAUCCCGAGGCUCAACCUCGGGUCUGCAGUGGGUACGGGCAGACUGGAGUGCGGUAGGGGAGAAUGGAAUUCCUGGUGUAGCGGUGGAAUGCGCAGAUAUCAGGAGGAACACCGAUGGCGAAGGCAGUUCUCUGGGCCGUAACUGACGCUGAGGAGCGAAAGCGUGGGGAGCGAACAGG
rnacentral:rRNA from 1 species